GGCAGGAAUGAAGGGCAGUGAAUUUCAGGGCAGGUUGCGGCCCUGAAAUUCACUGCCCUUCAUUUCUGCCCUUUUUCUGCG